GACGAACGCUGGCGGCGUGCUUAACACAUGCAAGUCGAACGGAAAGGCCCUGCUUUUGUGGGGUGCUCGAGUGGCGAACGGGUGAGUAACACGUGAGUAACCUGCCCUUGACUUUGGGAUAACUUCAGGAAACUGGGGCUAAUACCGGAUAGGAGCUCCUGCUACAUGGUGGGGGUUGGAAAGUUUCGGCGGCUGGGGAUGGACUCGCGGCUUAUCAGCUUGUUGGUGGGGUAGUGGCUUACCAAGGCUUUGACGGGUAGCCGGCCUGAGAGGGUGACCGGCCACAUUGGGACUGAGAUACGGCCCAGACUCCUACGGGAGGCAGCAGUGGGGAAUAUUGCACAAUGGGCGGAAGCCUGAUGCAGCAACGCCGCGUGCGGGAUGACGGCCUUCGGGUUGUAAACCGCUUUCGCCUGUGACGAAGCGUGAGUGACGGUAAUGGGUAAAGAAGCACCGGCUAACUACGUG
rnacentral:rRNA from 1 species